CAGCCGCCGCGGGAAUACGUAGGUGGCAAGCGUUGUCCGGAAUUAUUGGGCGUAAAGGGCUCGCAGGCGGUUUCUUAAGUCUGAUGUGAAAGCCCCCGGCUCAACCGGGGAGGGUCAUUGGAAACUGGGAAACUUGAGUGCAGAAGAGGAGAGUGGAAUUCCACGUGUAGCGGUGAAAUGCGUAGAGAUGUGGAGGAACACCAGUGGCGAAGGCGACUCUCUGGUCUGUAACUGACGCUGAGGAGCGAAAGCGUGGGGAGCGGACAGGAUUAGAUACCCCCGUAGUCCCUGUCUCUUAUAC
rnacentral:rRNA from 1 species